rnacentral:rRNA from 1 species
CCUACGGGCGGCAGCAGUGGGGAAUAUUGGACAAUGGGCGAAAGCCUGAUCCAGCCAUGCCGCGUGUGUGAAGAAGGCCUUCGGGUUGUAAAGCACUUUCAGUGGGGAAGAAAGCCUUGGGGCUAAUACCCUCGAGGAAGGACAUCACCCACAGAAGAAGCACCGGCUAACUCCGUGCCAGCAGCCGCGGUAAUACGGAGGGUGCAGCGUUAAUCGGAAUUACUGGGCGUAAAGCGCGCGUAGGCGGUCUGAUAAGCCGGUUGUGAAAGCCCCGGGCUCAACCUGGGAACGGCAUCCGGAACUGUCAGGCUAGAGUGCAGGAGAGGAAGGUAGAAUUCCCGGUGUAGCGGUGAAAUGCGUAGAGAUCGGGAGGAAUACCAGUGGCGAAGGCGGCCUUCUGGACUGACACUGACGCUGAGGUGCGAAAGCGUGGGUAGCAAACAGGAUUAGAUACCCUAGUAGUC